UGAGCAGGGCUGACAGCCAUCAUCUCCUUCUGGCUGAGAAGCCCCUGGACUUUCAGAAAAUUUGGCCAGGCUGUCAGGAAGGAGAUUCUAGAUUUCCACAUGAGAACAUAUGUGUGAAAAACAAGAAAGAUGCUGAUAUUUGCACCUUGAUGCUUCUCAUUCACCACAACUCCAAGUCACUGAUGAAGUCUGGCCAGCUGCACAGUUAUCUCAUUCUGAAGAUGUGGAAGCGAAGAAGUGCCUUGCCCCAGGUCACCCACACAGGAUGGAAUCUUCAUCUCACUGGAUCAUCACCACCAGCCUCAGCUCCUUGAGGACACAGUCUGAGUGGUGUGUGCUGUAUUUUCUAGUCCCUGGCAGAGGGCCUAGCCCCUGGUCAGUUCUCAAUAAAUAUUGAAAGAAGGAAGACUGUUCUUCG